CUUGUUUGGCGACGAUGGGGAAGUCCGGCUACGGCCCCGACGGCAUCUACCGCUCGCUCCGCCCGCGCAUCGCCUUCCCCGCCGACCCCGCCCUCUCCAUGGUCCCCUUCCUAUUCCGCAGCGCCGCCGCCCACCCCGACCGCCUCGCCCUCGUCGACGCCGAUACCGGCGAUGCGCUCUCCUUCGCCGACCUCCGCUCGUCGGUCCUCUCCGCCGCCGCCAGCUUAUCCUCCCUCUUCGGCCUCCGCAAGGGCGACGUCGUCCUCAUCUUCGCCCCCAACUCCGUCCACUUCCCCGUCGCCUUCCUCGCCGCGCUCUCCCUCGGCGCCAUCGCCACCACCGUCAACCCCCUCUACACCGUGCCCGAGCUCACCAGGCAGGCCCGCGACGCCCGAGCCAAGGUCGUGGUCACCGUCCCCCAGCUUUGGUCGAAGGCCGCUGCCUUGCGCCUACC
rnacentral:lncRNA from 1 species